rnacentral:rRNA from 1 species
GACGAACGCUGGCGGCGUGCUUAACACAUGCAAGUCGAACGGAAAGGCCCUGCUUUUGUGGGGUGCUCGAGUGGCGAACGGGUGAGUAACACGUGAGUAACCUGCCCUUGACUUUGGGAUAACUUCAGGAAACUGGGGCUAAUACCGGAUAGGAGCUCCUGCUGCAUGGUGGGGGUUGGAAAGUUUCGGCGGUUGGGGAUGAACUCGCGGCUUAUCAGCUUGUUGGUGGGGUAGUGGCUUACCAAGGCUUUGACGGGUAGCCGGCCUGAGAGGGUGACCGGCCACAUUGGGACUGAGAUACGGCCCAGACUCCUACGGGAGGCAGCAGUGGGGAAUAUUGCACAAUGGGCGGAAGCCUGAUGCAGCAACGCCGCGUGCGGGAUGACGGCCUUCGGGUUGUAAACCGCUUUCGCCUGUGACGAAGCGUGAGUGACGGUAAUGGGUAAAGAAGCACCGGCUAACUACGUG